CUGGUUCCACUUUAGCUUCAAUUUCCUCUGGACUGUAAAAACAAUAGAGUUUACCUCCUCGCAAAACACAAUACAGCCUUCUCCAACUAAUCAGACCUUCUACCAUUUGCUGAAAAAAAAAAAAAAUCAAGAGACUAUGAAUUUUAAGUUAUUAUCACUUUAACUCAAUUCAUCAAAAUACUUAUCAAGUCAUAAGCCAUUAGAUAGAGCCCCCAACAUGAACAUCUGUGCCAGGACUGGAGAAGGAGCUGUGAUGUGCUAGAAGUGGAUGAUGGAGACAGGCAGAAUGAGAAUGUUUCAGUGCAAAGACAGGACGUGAACAAGGAAAGAAUUAAAGACAUCUCCAAGGCUUCUGAUCCAAGCAACUAGAAAAAUUGAAUUGUUAUUAACUGAAAUGAGGCUGACUGACAGAGAAACAGAUACAGGAGUAAAAUUAUUGACAUGCUGAAGAGCCAACUCGAUGAAACAUGCAAAGAAAUUCUAGGAAUGUAGCUUGAUCAACAGAGUUCCAAAGAAACAUCAACAUAAAACUAUUUGUGAAGAAACAAAUGCAAUGUUUAAAGAAGAUACAAGCUGAGCAUCUCUACUCUGAAAAUCUGAAACGCUCCAAAAUCUGAAACUUUAUGAAUGCCUGUAUGACACCACAAGUGGAAAAUUCUACACCUGACUUCAUGUUAUGUUUGAAGUCAAAACUCAGUCAAAACUUUGUUUUAUGCACAAAAUUAUUAAAAAUAUCAUGGA